CCCCGUGCUCACAGCGCUGUGGAACCACCUGAUCCCACUGAAGAACUCAGUCGUGAAACGCAGCCGCGCCAAUGGUACUUGGACCGCAGGGUCCUGGGAGAGUAGGUCAGCGCGGGGG
rnacentral:rRNA from 1 species